rnacentral:lncRNA from 1 species
UGAAAUAAUUAGGCUGAUAAACUUUUUGUAAAAUGGGACUUCUGGUAAGAUUUGGAGCAAACAAAAUGGAUCUGUAUCAUAAAAAAUGCCCUUAAUAAAGGACCAGAGAGGAGACCUUUAGCCCUGUUCUUGUGUCUGUAAGUAGGAAACACAAGAGAUCUCCCGAGCUAGUAAAACCGCAAGGGAAUUCACAUGCACUUUCAGAUACGGUGUCUCGCAGAUACACAAUGAUUUAUGUGAACGUAGGCAGCAUUUUCCUGCACACGAGCUGAUUCCCCUCUUUAGGCAGGCCCCUAGGAGGACUCCAGUGAAGUAGCAAUUCACUCUGCUUUUUGGCUUUAGCUAUGACAUGUAGGGAAAUAUGUUGUUCAUCCACAGCUAGCAUAUUUGUAAGUGGGCCCUAGCAUUUUAGUAAUGGGGGGAAAAAACCCCAAACAAACCAUAAUUGGAUUUUCAACAUGAGAAUUUUGUGUGACUGUGUAAGCCUCCUUCCUUCCUAACUCUAAAAUAUCAGGGUUGGCAAAUUGGAACAAAACUUCAGACAAGUAUUCAGAGUUAUGUGGAAACCCAUUUUGGCAUUAAAAAAAACCAAGAACAUAUCUAACAGCCAUUAGCAAAAGCUAGUCUCUGCUGGUAACUCUCAGUGUAUGUUUGGAGUAGUUAAAUUAACCUUCAGAACAGGACUUCUGGACCUGACUUUUUAAGUACAAAUCUUCAAGAACUGACUAUCUUAUCCCCUACUCCUUGUCCUGUUGCCCUUCUGCUUCCUUUUUAGCAUGCUCUUAUCAAGCCACCCGCUUCCAGUCUGCAAUAAAAGGAGAGUUCCAGAUGGGCUUCACCUUGAUAACAGCAACAUGUGAGGGAGACGUAUAUGCAAGUGGAUUCCUUCAGACCUGUUACUGAAAUAACCCAUACCAAAUGUUUGAAGUUUUGGAACGGAAAGGUACGUCCUCGAGGGAACCAGGCCUGGACCAUGAAGAUGAUAUGA